rnacentral:rRNA from 1 species
AGAGCGAACGCUGGCGGCAGGCCUAACACAUGCAAGUCGAGCGCCCCGCAAGGGGAGCGGCAGACGGGAGAGUAACACGUGGGAACGUACCCUUUGGUUCGGAACAACACAGGGAAACUUGUGCUAAUACCGGAUAAGCCCUUACGGGGAAAGAUUUAUCGCCAAAGGAUCGGCCCGCGUCUGAUUAGCUUGUUGGUGAGGUAACGGCUCACCAAGGCUACGAUCAGUAGCUGGUCUGAGAGGAUGAUCAGCCUCACUGGGACUGAGACACGGCCCAGACUCCUACGGGAGGCAGCAGUGGGGAAUAUUGGACAAUGGGCGCAAGCCUGAUCCAGCCAUGCCGCGUGGAUGAUGAAGGCCCUAGGGUUGUAAAGUCCUUUCGACGGGGAAGAUAAUGACGGUACCCGUAGAAGAAGCCCCGGACUAACUUCGCGCCAGCAGCCGC